rnacentral:ncRNA from 2 species
AGGAAGCCGGUGGAAAUCCGGCGCGGUCCCGCCACUGUGAGCGCGGCGGCUGCCGAACGGCAGCGGCCGCGCGAGCCAGGAACU